rnacentral:rRNA from 1 species
AGCCUGAUGCAGCCAUGCCGCGUGUAUGAAGAAGGCCUUCGGGUUGUAAAGUACUUUCAGUUGUGAGGAAGGGGGUACGUUAAUAGCGGUAUCUCUUGACGUUAGCAACAGAAGAAGCACCGGCUAACUCCGUGCCAGCAGCCGCGGUAAUACGGAGGGUGCGAGCGUUAAUCGGAAUUACUGGGCGUAAAGCGCAUGCAGGUGGUUCAUUAAGUCAGAUGUGAAAGCCCGGGGCUCAACCUCGGAACUGCAUUUGAAACUGGUGAACUAGAGUACUGUAGAGGGGGGUAGAAUUUCAGGUGUAGCGGUGAAAUGCGUAGAGAUCUGAAGGAAUACCAGUGGCGAAGGCGGCCCCCUGGACAGAUACUGACACUCAGAUGCGAAAGCGUGGGGAGCAAACAGGAUUAGAUACCCUGGUAGUCCACGCCGUAAACGAUGUCUACUUGGGUUGUGGCCUUGAGCCGUGGCUUUCGGAGCUAACGCGUUAAGUAGACCGCCUGGG